GACAGUGUGGUAUAGUGGUUUGAACAAUUGAUUGUGACUCUGGAGACUGGGGUUUGACUCCUCACUUAGCCA